rnacentral:rRNA from 1 species
UACGAAGGGUGCAAACGUUGCUCGGAAUCAUUGGGGCGUAAAGCGCACGUAGGCGGCUUCGCAAGUCGGAUGUGAAAUCCCUCGGCUCAACCGAGGACGUGCAUCCGAAACUGCGGAGCUUGAGUACUGAAGAGGAUCGCGGAAUUCCCGGUGUAGAGGUGAAAUUCGUAGAUAUCGGGAGGAACACCAGUGGCGAAGGCGGCGAUCUGGGCAGAUACUGACGCUGAGGUGCGAAAGCGUGGGGAGCGAACAGG